rnacentral:rRNA from 1 species
GACGAACGCUGGCGGCGUGCUUAACACAUGCAAGUCGAACGGAACGGCCCUGCUUUUGUGGGGUGCUCGAGUGGCGAACGGGUGAGUAACACGUGAGUAACCUGCCCUUGACCUUGGGAUAACUUCAGGAAACUGGGGCUAAUACCGGAUAGGAGCUCCUGCUGCAUGGUGGGGGUUGGAAAGUUUAGGCGGUUGGGGAUGGACUCGCGGCUUAUCAGCUUGUUGGUGGGGUAGUGGCUUACCAAGGCUUUGACGGGUAGCCGGCCUGAGAGGGUGACCGGCCACAUUGGGACUGAGAUACGGCACAGACUCCUCCGGGACGCAGGAGUGGGGAAUAUUGCACAAGGGGCUGAAGCCUGAUGCAGCAACGCCGCGUGCGGGAUGACGGCCUUCGGGUUGGAAACCGCUUUCGCCUGUGACGAAGUGUGAGUGACGGUAAUGGGUAAAGAAGCACCGGCUAACUACGUG